ensembl:lncRNA
GAGUAUCUGUAUAGAUACUGUAUAGAGUAUCUGUACAGAGUAUCUGUAUAGAUACUAUAUAGAGUAUCUGUAUAGAGACUGUAUAGAGUAUCUGUAUAGAGACUGUAUAGAGUAUCUGUAUAGAUACUGUAUAGAGUAUCUGUACAGAGUAUCCGUAUAGAGUAUCUGUAUAGAUACUGUAUAGAGUAUCUGUAUAGAUCUACCAGCAGUUGUUUUUGAAGGCUGAGGGAGAACACUGUUAUACAAUUUGGUUAAAGUAUUUCCAAACAGGGAAAUGCAUAAUCAUGUGUGGAGUAGUGUCUUCGAUGUAGCCUAACUAUACUGGAGUAGUGUCCUCGAUGUAGCCUAACUAUGCUGGAGUAGUGUCUUCGAUGUAGCCUAACUAUACUGGAGUAGUGUCCUCGAUGUAGCCUAACUAUGCUGUAGUAGUGUCCUCGAUGUAGCCUAACUAUACUGGAGUAGUGUCCUCGAUGUAGCCUAACUAUGCUGUAGUAGAAAUACAGUAACUGUCAUACAGGUGUGUGGAAAUACAGUAACUGUCAUACAGGUGUGUGGAAAUACAGUAACUGUCAUACAGGUGUGUGAAAAUACAGUAACUGUCAUAUAGGUGUGUGGAAAUACAGUAACUGUCAUAUAGGUGUGUGGAAAUACAGUAACUGUCAUACAGGUGUGUGGAAAUACAGUAACUGUCAUAUAGGUGUGUGGAAAUACAGUAACUGUCAUACAGGUGUGUGGAAAUACAGUAACUGUCAUACAGGUGUUUGGCCUCCGGGGGGCAGACAGACAUUGUGUAGAAAAGUCAACUCUUUGAAGAAUGUGCUUCUCUAAGCAUUCAAUAUGUAGAAACAUUAUAAAGUGUUUGAUAUUACAAUCUAGCUAGG